rnacentral:rRNA from 1 species
UGGGGAAUAUUGCACAAUGGGCGCAAGCCUGAUGCAGCCAUGCCGCGUGUAUGAAGAAGGCCUUCGGGUUGUAAAGUACUUUCAGCGGGGAGGAAGGCGAUAAGGUUAAUAACCUUGUCGAUUGACGUUACCCGCAGAAGAAGCACCGGCUAACUCCGUGCCAGCAGCCGCGGUCAUACGGAGUGGGCAAGCGUUAAUCGGAAUUACUGGGCGUAAAGCGCACGCAGGCGGUCUGUCAAGUCGGAUGUGAAAUCCCCGGGCUCAACCUGGGAACUGCAUUCGAAACUGGCAGGCUAGAGUCUUGUAGAGGGGGGUAGAAUUCCAGGUGUAGCGGUGAAAUGCGUAGAGAUCUGGAGGAAUACCGGUGGCGAAGGCGGCCCCCUGGACAAAGACUGACGCUCAGGUGCGAAAGCGUGGGGAGCAAACA